rnacentral:rRNA from 1 species
CCUACGGGGUGCAGCAGUGGGGAAUAUUGGACAAUGGGGGGAACCCUGAUCCAGCCAUGCCGCGUGUGUGAAGAAGGCCCUCGGGUUGUAAAGCACUUUCAGUGAGGAAGAACGCCUGGUGGUUAAUACCCAUCAGGAAAGACAUCACUCACAGAAGAAGCACCGGCUAACUCCGUGCCAGCAGCCGCGGUAAUACGGAGGGUGCGAGCGUUAAUCGGAAUUACUGGGCGUAAAGCGCGCGUAGGUGGCUUGAUAAGCCGGUUGUGAAAGCCCCGGGCUCAACCUGGGAACGGCAUCCGGAACUGUCAAGCUAGAGUGCAGGAGAGGAAGGUAGAAUUCCCGGUGUAGCGGUGAAAUGCGUAGAGAUCGGGAGGAGUACCAGUGGCGAAGGCGGCCUUCUGGACUGACACUGCCACUGAGGUGCGAAAGCGUGGGUAGCAAACAGGAUUAGAUACCCUGGUAGUC